rnacentral:rRNA from 1 species
GAUGAACGCUGGCGGCGUGCCUAAUACAUGCAAGCCGAGCGAACGGACGAGAAGCUUGCUUCUCUGAUGUUAGCGGCGGACGGGUGAGUAACACGUGGAUAACCUACCUAUAAGACUGGGAUAACUUCGGGAAACCGGAGCUAAUACCGGAUAAUAUUUUGAACCGCAUGGUUCAAAAGUGAAAGACGGUCUUGCUGUCACUUAUAGAUGGAUCCGCGCUGCAUUAGCUAGUUGGUAAGGUAACGGCUUACCAAGGCAACGAUGCAUAGCCGACCUGAGAGGGUGAUCGGCCACGCUGGAACUGAGACACGGUCCAGACUCCUACGGGAGGCAGCAGUAGGGAAUCUUCCGCAAUGGGCGAAAGCCUGACGGAGCAACGCCGCGUGAGUGAUGAAGGUCUUCGGAUCGUAAAACUCUGUUAUUAGGGAAGAACAUAUGUGUAAGUAACUGUGCACAUCUUGACGGUACCUAAUCAGAAAGCCACGGCUAACUACGUG